CGGGUAACACAAUCUGAUGCUGGAGGGCUACUAGAUUGAAGCCGUUGGGCGCUGUGAGGAACAAGACAUUGGAGUAGAUAAACUGUUUAUCUGAUCCUGUUGGACCCUUCUGAUGUCCAGUUUGUCAGGUGUGUGUGUGUGUUUGUGUGUGUAAGAAAUAAGGAUGAGGAAAGGUUAACAACAGGAAGAUUUAAAGGAACUAUUGGAAAGACUAUUCAAGGCAGCAGAGAUAUGAGAUGAUCAGAGCCCCCGAACUUGAAGCAUGGGAAGUCCCAACAAAAAAAUUAUAAUUUAGGCAGAAUAGUUGGACUAUUUGAUAUGUAUUUGUAUAAUCUGGAAUCCUUAUUUAAGGCAUACCCCCCAAAGAAUCCUGGGAGCUAUAGUUUACUCCCCAGAAAGCUGCAAUCCUGAACACUGUUAACAAAGUACAGUUACUGUGUUGUUUUUUUGGGGGGGGGGUUGGAGUGAGAAUCUCCUUUAAAUGUGCUUUAAAUGUAUGACUCGUAUGCAAGAUAAUUAAUCUGGGAUCUUAGGGCAGGAUUUGCUGCUGUUUUAGGAGUUUUCUGUAAGUAAAAAAACAAACCCCUGCACCCUCCCCAUCCAAAUUGCCCGUGAUGGAGCAGAACGGUGCGCCAUAUGAUCAGUUUCCCAUUCCAUGUCCUUAACAUCUGCUUGAACAACCAAGCGACUUUCAGGAAAUAGAUCAUCCUUAAGCAAACAGUUUUAGACAACACAGGCUCCCGUCCAACUAUCUUUCCUAUCACGGGCAAUUACCAAGACGUUUUAAGGUGAUGUGGAAGGCUGCUCUGCCAGGGCUGACUUCUGGAGCUGGAGAGCUGGGCAUAUGACGUCGUCUUCUAGACCAGGGACAAGGAACUGCAGGCUUGGUAGUCAAAUGGAGUCCUCCAGACCUCUCCAUUUGGCCCCCAGGACUUUGCUCAGCCACACCCCUUCUCCCCAGGCCACACCCCUCCUGCCUCUUGUUCACCUGCAUGAAGGACUAAUCAGCCUUCAUGGGAGGUGUUCUAACGCUGCUUGGAUGGGCCUGCUAGCUGCUCCAGCAAGUGGUAGUAUGAUUUGUGUACAGCAUGUGAGUGUCUGAGAGAGCUUGAGAUAGGAAGUCUGUAUAAUAAUAAUAAUAAUAAUAAUAAUUUAUUUAUAACCCUGCCCAUCCGGCUGAGUUUCCCCAGCCACUCUGGGCAGCUUCCAAUUGAGUGUUAAAAACAAUACAGCAUUAAAUAUUAAAAACUUCCCUAAACAGGGCUGCCUUCAGAUGUCUUUUAAAGGUAAGAUAGCUGCUUAUUUCCUUCACAUCUGAAGGGAGGGCAUUCCACAGGGCGGGUGCCACUACCGAGAAGGCCCUCUGCCUGGUUCCCUGUAACUUGGCUUCUUGCAAUGAGGGAACCGCCAGAAGGCCCUCGGCGCUGGAUCUCAGUGUCCGGGCUGACGAUGGGGGUGGAGACGCUCCUUCAGGUAUACAGGACCGAGGCCGUUUAUCUCUUCCUUCUGAGUACUAUUGGAAGUUAGUUUCACUUCUGUGUGUGUCGCAGUUCUGUACUGCUGUUCAGAGAGCACAGACAUACUGAUGGAGUCUCUGUACACAAGACUGUAAAUAAAGUAGUUUAGAACUACAAUUGAGUCUUUCUUCUGCUAUGAUAUACCAGAAGACUGGUGUGCUCUUUUCAGGAGAGAAGGGUCACUUAUUACCGGUCUCUCUGGACUGAGGGAGAUUUACACCCAGGGAGGACCACCAGAGAGAUGCUCCGAGGACUUGGGAAGUUGGCAGCCUUCCCGGGGGGGGGGGGGGAGAUUUUUCCAACAGGGCCACCAGUCAGGGAUUAUUCAGCUGUGACUCCUGCAUUGCAGGGGCUCAGGCUAGAAGACCUCUGAGGUGCCUUCCAACUCUGUAAUUCUAGUAUGCUAUGAUCGGGGUAUGUACAACUGGUUUAUGCAAUCCUUGAUAGUAGGGUCUUUAUUUAAAAAUAUUUUUUAUUGAUUUUUCCGUGUAUACUUCUUCUAACAAUAUAUCUUUAACAAUUUUUCAUAUUUCGACCCUCCUCCCCUGGACUUCCCCCAUACUCCUGUUUUGUUUUAUUUCCAUAUUAUUCACCCUGCGUAUUAUUUCCCCAAAAUUUUCUCAAUACAUACAGUCUUAUUUUUUUGUUGUAUACAGUUGUGAUUGUUUACUCAAACCCUGCCAAUGAGUCCAUUUCUUUAUUUUGCCUCUUCAUAUAUGUUGUGAAUGGGAAGCAUUUACAAUGCUACUGGUUUCUUAACAAAGGUCUUUUUAAACAUUUUUUUUCAAUUCAUUAUAUAUCAUUUUCCAAUAAUUUAUAAUCUUUUUUGCAUUCCCACCACAUAUGAGAGAAUGCCCCAUCUUUUUCUUUACAUUUCCAACAAGUUUUUGAUCCCUUUUUAUAUAUUUUGACCACUUUCUCUGGUGUUAUAUACCAUCUAUACAUCAUUUUCAUAUAAUUCUCUUUCAAUAAGAUACAAUCUGUAAAUUUUAGGUUCACCUUCCACAUCUUUUCCCAAUCUUCAAGUUGUAUAUAAUGACCUAAAUCCUGACCCCACUUUAUUUGUGCUGACUUUACCACCUGACAGUAGGGUCUGACUUUCAGGACCUCGGAGAGCUCCAAGGAUGUCCAGGUGUUCGCUGUAGGAACAUCGGAAACGACUUUCUUUUCUUUUUUAAUAAUAAUAUUUAUUCAGAAACGACUUUCUACUGAGUCAGAUCCUAGGUUCUUUCAGCUCAGUAUUGUCUACACUGACUGGCAGAGGCCCUGCAGGGUUUCAAGGAGUAGGUAGGUCCCCAUCCUAUCUGGAGAUGAAAUUGGGUUGAACCUAGGACUUUCUGCAUGCAAAUCAGGUCCUCUAAGCCACUGAGUUAUGGCCUCUUCUCCUGAGAAGUCAGCAUGUGUAGCAUGUUUUCAUCUGAAGAGAUGGACCCACCUCUCAGAAUCCUCACCCCCACGAGCUCAAGGCUGAAAGUGGUUCUAGCUAAAAGUCAGCUAUAUCCUCCGUGGAAAAACAUCACAUACAUCCACCCCCUUUCAUGGAACAGGAAAAUGCCUCUGGACUCUGCUACCUUGUCAGGACUUGGAUGGAGAUCUCGCCUGCAAAGAGAGCUGUGUGCAUUUACAGCGGUUGCUCUGCAAUAAAUAAAUAAGUAAAUAAAAUUGGGGAAAGUGCCAGGGGUGGAGGGGGGAGAGAGGGAGAACCUCCUUUCAUCGCCUCCCCACUGACUCCGGCAAACAGGCUUCCUAGGAACAAAUAGAGCAUUCAAUUUGUUUUUCCAGGAGCAAGCUGUUUCCAUCUCUCAGCAGAAAUAAUUAAGGAUAAAACACAGCAUCCUACCUUUCUGCUCGCUGACUAUCCCUGCUGCAGAAGAAAUGUGGAAACACAGAAUUGGAAGGGGACCCAAUGGGUUAUCUAGCCCAACCCCUGCAAUGCAAAGUCUGAGCCAGAAGCAAGGGAAGCUUUCUUCCAACCUGAGAACUGCAUUCCCUGAUUGCCAGCCUUCCAGGGGCCAUGUACAAUUGACAAAGAGGGGCCAGAGGCAAAAGCAGGGGUGACAAAAGUUGCUUUUGUACAGUACUCAAAGCUAUGGUUUUUCCCAGUAGUGAUGCAUGGAAGUGAGAGCUGAACCAUAAAGAAGACUGAUCACCGAAGAAUUGAAGCUUUUGAAUUAUGGUGCUGGAGGAGACUGUUGAGAGUCCCAUGGACUGCAAAAAGAUCAAACCUAUCCAUUCUGAAGGAAAUCAGCCCACUGGAAGGACAGAUCCUGAAGCUGAGACUCCAAUACUUUGGUCACCUCAUGAGAAGAGAAGACUCCCCGGAAAAGACCCUGAUGUUGGGAAAGAUUGAGGGCACAAGGAGAAGGGGAUGACAGAGGAGAAGGUGGUUGGACAGUGUUCUUGAAGCUACCAGCAUGAGUUUGACCAAACUGCGGGAGGCAGUGGAAGACAGGAGUGCCUGGUGUGCUCAUAGGGACACGAAGAGUUGGACACAACUAAAUGACUAAACAACAACAACAAGUUUGUAUAGCGCAUGGGUAGGCAAACUAAGGCCUGGGGGCCGGAUCUGGCCCAAUCACCUUCUAAAUCUGGCCCCUGGACGGUCUGGGAAUCAGUGUGUUUUUACAUGAGUAGAAUGUGUCCUUUUAUUUAAAAUGCAUCUCUGGGUUAUUUGCGGGGCAUAGGAAUUCAUUCAUCCCAACCCCCCAAAAAAUAUAGCCCACCCCCCCAAGGUCUGAGGGACAGUGGACCAGCCCCCUGCUGAAAAAGUUUGCUGACCCCUGGUAUAGUGGGUUUAGAGAACUGUGGGGGGGGGGGGGAAUCAGGUAGUACAGUCAUAUCUCAGGUUACAGCCGCUUCAGGUUGUGAUUUUUCGGGUUGCGGACCUCCGAAACCCAGAAGUACUGGAACGGGUUGCUUCCAGGUUUCUGCAGUUGUGCAUUCACAGAAGUGCUAAGUUGUGCUUUGCGCAUGUGCAGAAGUGGUUAAAUCGCAGCCCUCGUGUGCGCAGACACGCAGACAUGGGUUGUGAAUGCUGCGGGUUGCGAACAUGCAUCCUACACAGAUCACGUCCGCAACCCGAGCGUCCACUGUAUAUGGGAAGAUGAGUCUAAAAAGUCCAGGACACCAAUUUUGACAGCCCUCUAGCAGCUGUGGUGCCUCAUUUACCAGAAGUAAUGUAUUUAGCAUUAACUCCGGAAGUGUAAACUCAAUUCUGACCUCCUAGAGUAAAACACACAUCAGGAGGCUUAGUUUUACAAAUCUGUGGUGUGACCUCACUUGGCAUAAUGCUGUGUGCAGUUCUGGUUGCCACCUCUCAAAAGGGAUAUUGUGUAAUUGUACAAGGUUCUGAAAAGGGCAAAGGAAAUAUCAAAGGGAUGGAGGGACUCCCCUAGGAAGGAACGUUGCUGUGUUUGGGGCUUCUUAAAGGUAAAGCUAAAGGGACCCCUGACCAUUAGGUCCAGUCGUGACCCACUCUGGGGUUGCAGUGCUCAUCUCACUUUAUUGGCCAAGGGAGCCGGCGUACAGCUUCCGGGUCAUGUGGCCAGCAUGACUAAGCUGCUUCUGGCGGACCAGAACAGCGAACGGAAACGCCGUUUACCUUCCCACCGGGGUGGUACCUAUUUAUCUACUUGCACUUUGACGUGCUUUUGAACUGCUAGGUAGGCAGGAGCUGGGACUGAGCAAUGGGAGCGCACCCUGUCACGGGGAUUCGAACCGCUGACCUUCUGAUCGGCAAGUCCUAGGCUCUGUGGUUUAGACCAGUGCCACCCGCGUCAUAGCUUAGAGUAAAAGCGAGUCAGAGGCGACAUGCCAGUAGUAUAUGAAAUUAUGGAAUGGAGAAAAUGGAGAGAGAAGUUUUUCUCCCUCUCUCAUGGUGCUAAAACUUGUGGUCAUGCAAUGAAGCCAAAUGUUGGACAGAUAAGAUAAAGGAGUUAAACUGUGGUACUCCCUCCCACAGGACCGGCCACCAACUUAGAUGGCUACUACUCUUGAUGGCUCUGCUCUGACUCUACCAUCGAGGACAGCAAUGCUUCUGAAUACCAGUUGUUGGACACCACAGGAGAAUUCUUGUGCUCGAAUCCUGCUUAGGGGUCUCCCACAGGCCUUUGAUUGGCCACUGUGAAACCAGGAUGCUGCGCUAGAUGGGUCAUUGGCUCUUGUGAUGUUCCGGUUCCCUCCUUCCUGCCCUCAAAGGAAACCAGCCAGCCAGCCUACCUGCCAAUCACCCCGCAACUUUCACAAAGCCACGGCACUGUAAUCACUCACCCUCCCAAUCGCCGUGGCUUUCCGGGGGACACAAGGGUGGGCGAGGAUCCUGCUGCCCAGCUGAAUUAGAGAUGGCUCCUCUCAAGCCACCCUUGGCGUGACCGCCACCCCCGCCCCUCUGCCCCUAGACAUCGCGGGAAGUCGCCGGGCAGGGUUUUAACGUCUCAUUUUCUUAACGGGAACCGGCAGGCGGGACCCCAGCAGGGACUCCGGCUUGUCAGAGUCAAUCAGGUUGGCUUGGGGAAGUGCGGAGAGCAUCUGUAAUUCAUCAACCCCAAGCCUGUCCCGGGUGACGGGUUUUUCACUCAUCGGAGCACAGUGCUUUCCUCCGGACGAGGAUCGAGCUGACAGCCGCGGUGGCGGAAAGAGCAUCAUUGCCACCAGGGACGGCUGCUAAUUAGUCUACAAGAUCUUUACACCCCCAACCCCACGCGCACACACAACCAGUCUUGCAUACAGAGGAGGUUCAGCAAGCUGGCUUCCCAGAGCAUUCUGGGGGGUGGAAGAGAUCAAACAUGUCUCCUUCAAGACAUCCCAUGAAAAGUGCCACCAAGGA